ACACCUUCAACAGACGCGCGCGUAAGCUGCGAUGCCGUGUCUUAAAUAAUCGGCUUUUCUGCAUGUAAUUCAUAAUCCAGGAAGUCUUCCUGGAUUUCACUCUUUAUUGCUUGACGCUGAGUUGCUGACAACCACAACAAUUUGCAAAAUGGACGAUGAAAUAGUCAAAGAGGAAUACUCGAUAACUGAAGAAACUCCUGCAACAGAAGAAAGUAGCGAUGCAGAAGCAAAGCAAAUGGAAGAUGAAGCAACAUCAAGCACUCGCAGCAAGGACAUAGAAGCACGGGUAAGAGUUCCCCGAAGAAAAUGUACAUGUUACUACUGUGAAGUAGAUACGGGUGAGGAUCGGACGAAUCAACACAUAUGCCAUGUUAGCGACUGCAAAAGGGUGUUCCGUAAACCGUGGAGUCUACGAGUUCAUAUACGGUCGCAUAUGGGGGAACGACCAUAUACGUGUAGCUGGGCCAAUUGUGGAACACGAUUUACGCGUAAAGAACAAAUGGUGCGGCAUAUGCUAUUGCAUACUGGUGAGAAACCACACAAAUGCAAUCAAUGUGAAAAAAAGUUCGGACGAAAGGACUAUCUCCAGAAGCAUAUGGAAAACGUGCACAACAAAGUAAAACGCGAUAAAAACGACUCAGGAUCUGACCACUCGGAAGCAUCGGAUAGUAACAAAUCAAAUAGUAAUGAAUGAAUCCAAUAAGGGUUAUUCUCGAAAUAUAAAUCAGUGCAUCGGAAGACUGAAUUGUAAACUCGUCAUCAUUUUGCAAUAGCCAAUAAUUGGCAUAUGGAAUUAUGGAUACUAAAUUACGCUUUUGGCGUAUGGCGGCAACUAAUUCGGGUACGCAACCAGUUGCUAUUGACGCAUAGGAUUCCAAUG